rnacentral:rRNA from 1 species
CAGGGAAUUCUUGCGCAAUGGGGCGAAAGCCUGACGCAGCGACGCCGCGUGGGGGAAGAAGGCCUUAGGGUUGUAAACCCCUUUUCUGGGGGAAGAGCAAGGACGGUACCCCAGGAAUAAGCCUCGGCUAACUACGUGCCAGCAGCCGCGGUAAUACGUAGGAGGCAAGCGUUGUCCGGAUUUACUGGGCGUAAAGGGCGUGUAGGCGGUUUGGGCAGUCCCUUGUGAAAUCUCCCGGCUCAACCGGGAGCGGUCGAGGGAUACUUCCAAGCUAGAGGGCAGUAGAGGAGAGCGGAAUUCCCGGUGUAGUGGUGAAAUGCGUAGAUAUCGGAAGGAACACCCGUGGCGAAAGCGACUCUCUGGACUGAUCCUGACACUGAGGUGCGAAAGCGUGGGGAGCAAACCGGAUUAGAUACCCUGGUAGUCCACGCCUUAAACUAUGUCUGCUGGGUAUUGGAAGUCUUGACCUCUUAUGGGCGCAACUUACGCAUUAAGUUGACCGCCUGGGGAACACCGGCGCCAGGGUA